GGCUGACUCUCCUUCUCGUGCAUUGAAAGGAUGGAAGAAAGUAGAAAUAAGAUGGCUAAAAAAUCUAAAAGAUGGAUAUUUUCAUCUGUCACACGAGCCUCUAUAAGAGUUAUAGUGUGGAGAGAGAGAUGUCUUCAAGAUACAGGCAUUGAAUUUUAUUUACAUGUGUUAGGAGGGAGGAAGUUUUUAUAUUUUUUCGAUGUGGGACUAAUGGAAAGAGAAGA
rnacentral:lncRNA from 1 species